rnacentral:lncRNA from 1 species
CUCUCCCCAAUACCUCUUAGUCCUCCCUCUGCCUCGCCGUACGCCGACCAUCGCCAGCCGAUCACAACUCCUCAUUGGGGCAUCAGGACUUCUCCUCCGUACAUGCCCGAACCACCUCAGUCUCGCAUCUUCUCAUCCACCGGGGCCACCCCCACCUUCUCUCCAAUAACUUCAUUCUUAAUCUUAUCUAACCUGGUGAGCCCGCACAUCCACCUGAG